rnacentral:lncRNA from 1 species
ACACCGUGGGUGUGUUUCUACCUGACAGCCUCCAAAAACACGAGAAGGUUCCUGAUGUCGUAAACAGAUUCGGCGUCACGCAGGUUGAACGAGACGCUCGAGGGAGGUGCUUUCGCGUGGUGUUUGUGUUCCGCGACCGCCGGAGCGGAGCACGACCCCCAGGAACGCCUUGCCGCCCGUUGUGCUUCAAGUCGUAGAUAACGAGCGAACCGGGGGGGCGCCGGACGGCCUGCGCGAUCUGGGAGAGCGGAGGAGGCUCCGGAGCCGAGAGACGGCGGCGCGAUGGAGAGACGAGCCCGAACGGCCCGCGCUGAAAAGAGCCGGCAGACCGCGGAUUAUAAAGCGCGGCUGCGGGGAAUCGGCGUUCCGCAGGCCCCCGCCGGACUGACCGCGCCGCCCGCCGAAAGGACGGCGAGCGACCCCCGCC